rnacentral:rRNA from 1 species
UACGUAGGGUGCGAGCGUUGUCCGGAAUUAUUGGGCGUAAAGGGCUCGUAGGCGGUCUGUCGCGUCGGGAGUGAAAACUCAGGGCUUAACCCUGAGCCUGCUUCCGAUACGGGCAGACUAGAGGUAUGCAGGGGAGAACGGAAUUCCUGGUGUAGCGGUGGAAUGCGCAGAUAUCAGGAGGAACACCGGUGGCGAAGGCGGUUCUCUGGGCAUGACCUGACGCUGAGGAGCGAAAGUGUGGGGAGCGAACAGG